AAAAGACCACCACAUCACAUCAGUAACAUUCUAAACUAAGUUGCAGGAAUAAAUGGUUAUAUUCUUUCUCUAGCAGACCAUAGGUACAAACUCCGAAAAAUAACCUCAAAAUUUCAGUUUUCCACACAUGCACACUAGGCAAAAUAAUCACUGACAAUUAGGUGAUUUUUUAUUGUGAAUGGAAAUGAAAUGUAAAAGCUUAAUUGAUUUUAGUCAUUUUCAGUUUCAAUUCAUUAGUUAAUAGAGUUGUUAGUGACAGUUAUAACUGCCAUUAGAUUCUGUAGCUGAGCUGCAAGAUGAAACUCAAU
rnacentral:misc_RNA from 1 species